UAGAAUGGAACUGCUGUGUGACCAGAAAC
rnacentral:piRNA from 1 species